rnacentral:rRNA from 1 species
UACAGAGGUCUCAAGCGUUGUUCGGAUUCAUUGGGCGUAAAGGGUGCGUAGGCGGCGCGGUAAGUCGGGUGUGAAAACCUGGGGCUCAACCCCGGGCCUGCAGCCGAUACGGGCAAGCUAGAAUUCGGUAGGGGAGACGUGGAAUUCCUGGGUGUAGCGGGUAGAAAUGCGCAGAUAAUCAGGAGGAACACCGGUGGCGAAGGCGGUUCUCUGGGCCUGUACUGACGCUGAGGAACGAAAGCGUGGGGAGCGAACAGG